CACAAGAGCCUGGCCAGGGCUGCACCCAAGAUAGACCAAAAUGAUCACAAAUUUCACUCUUUUAUAAGUUUUGGUCCAUCUGCACAUCAGGGUUAAUUGUCCCAUCGCUGCUCCAGGUUAUGAAUCCCCAUCCUUAUUUCUGCUUUGGGGCUGGAACUUGUAAAGUCUGCCCUUGGUCCCAAGCUGGAAAAGGAAAUGUUGUGUCUGUUCUGUGAAGAGAGCUCACUGACACUGAACAUGGAGCUCAGAGCUGCACACCUGGGCCCCACACAAUGGGAAAAUCACAAAGCUAGAACUGAAGGCAUGGAAUGCCACCGGGCAGGUGCAGCUGCAGGGAGGGCAAACACAAGGCCCCCAGGUCUCGCUGGGAAAUCCCACACUGUGAGGAGAACAUUCCUGUUGUUUCCUAACCACACAUCUGCACACAUGAGGAUUAAAAUGCCCCUGGAACAGGAGGGUUGGAUGGC